rnacentral:rRNA from 1 species
UACGGAGGGUGCGAGCGUUAUCCGGAAUUACUGGGUUUAAAGGGUGCGUAGGCGGCCAUGUAAGUCAGGAGUGAAAGUUUGCGGCUCAACCGUAAAAUUGCUUUUGAUACUGCAUGGCUGGAAUCAGGAUGAGGUCAGCGGGAUGUGGCAUGUAGCGGUGAAAUGCAUAGAUAUGCCAUAGAACACCAAUUGCGAAGGCAGCUGGCUAGACCUGUAUUGACGCUGAGGCACGAAAGCGUGGGGAGCGAACAGG